CUAUAAUGCAGUCGAGCGGACAGAAGGGAGCUUGCUCCCGGAUGUUAGCGGCGGACGGGUGAGUAACACGUGGGUAACCUGCCUGUAAGACUGGGAUAACUCCGGGAAACCGGAGCUAAUACCGGAUAGUUCCUUGAACCGCAUGGUUCAAGGAUGAAAGACGGUUUCGGCUGUCACUUACAGAUGGACCCGCGGCGCAUUAGCUAGUUGGUGGGGUAAUGGCUCACCAAGGCGACGAUGCGUAGCCGACCUGAGAGGGUGAUCGGCCACACUGGGACUGAGACACGGCCCAGACUCCUACGGGAGGCAGCAGUAGGGAAUCUUCCGCAAUGGACGAAAGUCUGACGGAGCAACGCCGCGUGAGUGAUGAAGGUUUUCGGAUCGUAAAGCUCUGUUGUUAGGGAAGAACAAGUGCGAGAGUAACUGCUCGCACCUUGACGGUACCUAACCAGAAAGCCACGGCUAACUACGUGCCAGCAGCCGCGGUAAUACGUAGGUGGCAAGCGUUGUCCGGAAUUAUUGGGCGUAAAGGGCUCGCAGGCGGUUUCUUAAGUCUGAUGUGAAAGCCCCCGGCUCAACCGGGGAGGGUCAUUGGAAACUGGGAAACUUGAGUGCAGAAGAGGAGAGUGGAAUUCCACGUGUAGCGGUGAAAUGCGUAGAGAUGUGGAGGAACACCAGUGGCGAAGGCGACUCUCUGGUCUGUAACUGACGCUGAGGAGCGAAAGCGUGGGGAGCGAACAGGAUUAGAUACCCUGGUAGUCCACGCCGUAAACGAUGAGUGCUAAGUGUUAGGGGGUUUCCGCCCCUUAGUGCUGCAGCUAACGCAUUAAGCACUCCGCCUGGGGAGUACGGUCGCAAGACUG
rnacentral:rRNA from 1 species